rnacentral:rRNA from 1 species
GUGCUGAAGCAACAAAUGCCCUGCUUCCAGGAAAAGCCUCUAAGCAUCAGGUAACAUCAAAUCGUACCCCAAACCGACACAGGUGGUCAGGUAGAGAAUACCAAGGCGCUUGAGAGAACUCGGGUGAAGGAACUAGGCAAAAUGGUGCCGUAACUUCGGGAGAAGGCACGCUGAUAUGUAGGUGAAGCGACUUGCUCGUGGAGCUGAAAUCAGUCGAAGAUACCAGCUGGCUGCAACUGUUUAUUAAAAACACAGCACUGUGCAAACACGAAAGUGGACGUAUACGGUGUGACGCCUGCCCGGUGCCGGAAGGUUAAUUGAUGGGGUUAGCGGUAACGCGAAGCUCUUGAUCGAAGCCCCGGUAAACGGCGGCCGUAACUAUAACGGUCCUAAGGUAGCGAAAUUCCUUGUCGGGUAAGUUCCGACCUGCACGAAUGGCGUAAUGAUGGCCAGGCUGUCUCCACCCGAGACUCAGUGAAAUUGAACUCGCUGUGAAGAUGCAGUGUACCCGCGGCAAGACGGAAAGACCCCGUGAACCUUUACUAUAGCUUGACACUGAACAUUGAGCCUUGAUGUGUAGGAUAGGUGGGAGGCUUUGAAGUGUGGACGCCAGUCUGCAUGGAGCCGACCUUGAAAUACCACCCUUUAAUGUUUGAUGUUCUAACGUAGGCCCCUUAUCGGGGUUGCGGACAGUGUCUGGGGGGUAGUUUGACUGGGGCGGUCUCCUCCUAAAGAGUAACGGAGGAGCACGAAGGUUGGCUAAUCCUGGUCGGACAUCAGGAGGUUAGUGCAAUGGCAUAAGCCAGCUUGACUGCGAGCGUGACGGCGCGAGCAGGUGCGAAAGCAGGUCAUAGUGAUCCGGUGGUUCUGAAUGGAAGGGCCAUCGCUCAACGGAUAAAAGGUACUCCGGGGAUAACAGGCUGAUACCGCCCAAGAGUUCAUAUCGACGGCGGUGUUUGGCACCUCGAUGUCGGCUCAUCACAUCCUGGGGCUGAAGUAGGUCCCAAGGGUAUGGCUGUUCGCCAUUUAAAGUGGUACGCGAGCUGGGUUUAGAACGUCGUGAGACAGUUCGGUCCCUAUCUGCCGUGGGCGCUGGAGAACUGAGGGGGGCUGCUCCUAGUACGAGAGGACCGGAGUGGACGCAUCACUGGUGUUCGGGUUGUCAUGCCAAUGGCACUGCCCGGUAGCUAAAUGCGGAAGAGAUAAGUGCUGAAAGCAUCUAAGCACGAAACUUGCCCCGAGAUGAGUUCUCCCUGACCCUUUAAGGGUCCUGAAGGAACGUUGAAGACGACGACGUUGAUAGGCCGGGUGUGUAAGCGCAGCGAUGCGUUGAGCUAACCGGUACUAAUGAACCGUGAGGCUUAACCUUACAACGCCGAAG